rnacentral:ncRNA from 1 species
ACUAAUCAUCAGGAGAGGUUUCAUAACUGAAGCCCACCAACCGACCCAAAUGGGCACGGUGGUUCGAUCCUUGAACGGUAGAUGCGCCUUUAAAAAGGAAAUCACAAAGCCGCCUG